UAAUACGUAGAAGGCAAGCGUUAUCCGGAUUUAUUGGGCGUAAAGAGGGUGUAGGCGGUUCUUCAAGUCGGAUGUAAAAUCUCCCGGCUUAACUGGGAGGGAUCAUUCGAUACUGUUGGGCUAGAGUGCAGCAGAGGGAGGCGGAAUUCCCGGUGUAGUGGUGAAAUGCGUAGAUAUCGGGAGGAACACCAGUAGCGAAGGCGGCCUCCUGGGCUGUUACUGACGCUGAGACCCGAAAGCGUGGGGAGCGAACAGGAUUAGAUACCCUGGUAGUCCACGCAGUAAACGAUGGACACCAGGUAUGGAGAGUAUCGACCCUCUCCGUGCCGAAGUUAACGCUUUAAGUGUCCCGCCUGGGGAUUACGGUCGCAAGACUA
rnacentral:rRNA from 1 species